rnacentral:rRNA from 1 species
UACGUAGGUGGCAAGCGUUGUCCGGAAUUAUUGGGCGUAAAGCGCGCGCAGGCGGUCCUUUAAGUCUGAUGUGAAAGCCAACGGCUCAACCGUGGAGGGUCAUUGGAAACUGGGGGACUUGAGUGCAGAAGAGGAAAGCGGAAUUCCACGUGUAGCGGUGAAAUGCGUAGAGAUGUGGAGGAACACCAGUGGCGAAGGCGGCUUUCUGGUCUGUAACUGACGCUGAGGCGCGAAAGCGUGGGGAGCAAACAGG